CUUCUACGUGGUGACUUUACCGAAAGAACCAAGAAUAUGAAUCCCUGCAGUCACGAAAUAUUUAAAUCGAAAGCAAGAACGUUGUCAGGGUCCGCCAUCGAACCCACGACCUCUUGCGUCGCCGGCGAGGAAGUUAACAUCUCGCCACCACGGCGACCUUAACACAGAAGACGUCAACCCAAUUCGUCAAUAAACGAUGUACUAUGAAGAAGGGCCAUUGCCCGAAACGUCGACGCAUUUAAUAUCUCUCCUGUUAUCGCCGCAGUGUCUUCGACGAAUGUGUCCCGUUCUGACGUUAUUGUUAACGUCACUGCAGCAGCAUCGCCAUAUUAAAAAACAAUGUUAUAAUGUCAACCUGAAACAUCGAUCCCCCCUCGUGGGUGGACCCAGCUGCCUCUGAAGCGGCCCACCCGGGUUCGAUUCCCGCACGUGAAUUUUUACGAAGCUGCUUAACACCUUACGUAACCACCAACGUAGCAUCAACAUAACACACCGUUAACAUAUCAUUAACAUAUCAUUAACAUAGUAUAUCAUGCACGUCUUAUUAGCAUAUCAACAUUACCGUUACAUCAUCAUAAUGCUGCGAACAUUACGCGAUGAUGUAAUCACGCAUGUUUUACGUCAUCACGUUAACAUUGCGCGAUGACAUCACGCACGACGCACGUUGCGAGCAGCGCAGGAACAAUUGCAGUGACGGCACUACCAAGGCGCGCGGUGAUUUCAUCAAGAGCCCUGUGUGGAGCCCCGUGACGUCACCACGGCUCAGUGGCGUAGCACGGGGCACGUUGAGGUUGUGAAUCAUGCAGACAAGGGUUCAAAGCCAACUUGGUUGAACAUUUUUGUUAAUUUUUUUAAAAUAAUUUUUUUACCGUUAAAAAACACAAAGGAAACGGUAAUUUUAAAAAAUGAAUUUUUUAUUUAUUUAUUUUAAAAAUACAUAUCAGGGUAACAAUGUAACUGCUUGUUGAUUUAAAAACCAGGAUGUUCUUAGCAAUCACAAAACCUUUGUGGCGCAGUGGUCCGCACGAUUGCCUCUCGAGCUUUGUGUACCCGGUUCAAAUCCCGGCAAUAUCUUUUUUGGGGUAUUUGCAAUUGUUUAAUGAUGUCAUUACACGACUGUAAACAUACGCGAUGACGUCAUUGCGUAAUCUAAACCCACGCGAUGACGUCAUAGCGUUCACAUUACACAGCCAGCUGAGCGCAGUGCAAUUACUACACCGCGCGGAGCACCACGCACUUGUGUGAAGACACGGUGGCUCAAGGCAAUGCAAGGCAAGCUCCGAGACGAAUAGGUGCCAAGGUUCGAAUCCUGGAUAGAGGUGAGUGGUGAAAUAUGCGAUGUGGCAAGUGUAUAUAACGUGGAAAGUGUAAUAUGAUGUUAACGUGCUAACACGUGGAGAUGGGACCUAAGCUGUGGAAGGUGGUGUGGCGACCUUGGACCAGGUGUGGAUGAUUGUAACCAUGUGUGGUGUCUCUGUACGAAGUGCAGGUGGAGAUGGAGUUCCAACUUGAGGAGACCUGGGACCAGUCUUGAAGGGGACGAAGACCCAGAUAAGGGAGUGACCUGGAAGAAAUUUAUAAUUUUUCGGCAUUACGCUAAGACUAAAUUUUGGCCACUAGGGGGCGCUGUUAUACCACUAGGGGGCGCUGUUCUAUGGGAAUACCCAUUGUGAGUGCAAAUUUUCUGUAAAUAAACGCGUUUAAACCGUUUUUUUUUACGUAUUUAAGCUUUUACGCAAAAUUACGGUGAAAUCUACUUCUAAACGUGAACAAAAAUGGUAAAACAGUAACAUUUACCCACAGGGGCAGGUGUCGGAUUGCUUAAAAUUUGCAUAAGCACUGCUGUUUUCACACCCAAAACAUUGGAUCUAUGAAAAACAUAACCGUACAAUAUUUCCAAACCAAUAUUUUAAAACCCUUUAAAACAGUAACCAGCGGUGAAGUAUGGUCAAAUAACCCCCAUGAUUUGUACAGACUUGCAAGGCACUCAUCCAGCAGUGGAUUGACAAAAGGGACUGUGGAAAUAUGUACAAACAGCAACCAUUAAAAGGGUUAAAAAUGAGCAAGACGUGGCCAAACUAUCCAGUUGUGUAAAUAUGAAGAAAAAAAUACAUGUGACUGAUAACAUUUUCUCAGGGUGUUUCGGUUUUCAAUCCACAUGUAUAAACACCCAUCAUUAACUGGCUGAAAACGACUUAAAAUAUAAGUCCAAUGCAAGACACUCCUGAAAAAGAGUCGUACGACUCGGUGUGACUUUUCUGGAUAAAUCAGUGAACUGCACUCCAAAGACCCUUCCCCUAUUCAAGUCCAGGUUUAAUCUCUUCCUCUCCUCUGCCUGUAACACGCUCGAUAAGUCACCAUCAAUUUCCCUCUUCAGUUUGUUUCCUCCUAUCCCUGUGCCCCUGCACAAGUAACACCACAACAAGCCUUGCCAUUCCUGUGCCCCUACACAAGUAACACCACAACAAGCCCUACCAUCCCUGGUGCCCCUACACAAGUAACACCACAACAAGCCCUACCAUCCCUGGUGCCCCUACACAACA